CUCAGGUGAAGCUGCUUCCUGGUAGUUGAGCUGAGAAACAUCACAGAUCAGAUGUUUGUGUUUUAGAAAGAUGUUGCUGAUGAGACUUUAGAGGAAACAGCUGCUACGAGUCAUGUGAUCAAAGUGCAGUAGAUAAUGUCUGACAUUCUGUUCACCUGCUGACAGCUGAUACCUCACACCUGUUUCUGCUCUGCAGGUCACACAGCUGGACACAAGGAGGGAGGAGACAAGGAGGGAGGAGACAAGGAUGGAAGUGUUGGACUGAGAGUCGACCUGCCAGUUGUUCUUCUUCUUGCUGUUGCUGUUGGUGGUUUUAUCUUCUAAAAAUCACAAAGCUGGAGACACCGAGGAGGGAGGAGACACGAGGAGAGGAGACGAGGAGGGAGGAGACAAGGAAGGAGAUGUUUCACAGACAGGUGGUGUGUUCGCUCUCGUUGGUGUUUGUUUUAUGAUCUUUAGAAAACAUAAAGGCUGCACAGAGCAUAAUUCAAGAGAAUAUUUUUGAUCUUGGUAUAUUCAUUAUGUAACCAGCUGUAUGCACGUGUUUCUGCUCAGCUUUCCUGGAUGCAGCUUAAAUAAUAUUGAUGUGUGUAUAUGUACUCAGGGAUGGGUAGCAUUUAGGAUGCAUAAAUUUAGACCGUAUUUCAAGUUCAGUGUCUCAGUGUGGAUCAGCUCAUUUGAUUUAACUUUGAACUGUUCAUUAAGCUGAUAUAGUUCCUCUACUCAGUAUUCAUGGUUAUGUCAUUAGUAAACUUAAACAGAGCUUGAAGUGGGCUGGUUCUCACCGGUACUUUAAGUUUUUACUCUUUAGUCUAGAGCACGCCCCAUCUGUUUUUAUCUUGCAGUGCAUCCCUCUCACUCAAAAUGAGGGUAUUUGAUAUUUUAGUACAUUUUGAUGCGUCUUUGCUCAUCCCUGUAUACACAGUAUGUAUAUGUAGCUACAAUGUAUUGAUCAGCAAUGAGAAUAGUUGUUUUGUGUGUUUUAAAUUCACUGACUUUGUCUCAAAAGAAAAGAAGGUCAGACAGAGUCCUCACAAAGACAUAAGAACAAGAAAACACAGUCACUGUCCCUGAAAAACAGAGUCAAUAAAACAUCGUUACCUCUGCUGCGUCUGAUUGGCUGCUGUGGGCGAUGUGAUAUUUUGACAUCGCUGUUUGUGAUGUCAUCAUCCACAACUUGUUCUUCAGCAGCGGAAUGAACCAAAAGCAGCAGAAAUUUGAGCCUGUCCUCCAAAGAAAAACUUACAAAAUUACGACUCUUUACAUCUAUUUUGGCAGUGACCUCUAGUGGCCGUACAAUGUAAACACACGAGAAAGACGGUCACCUAUUAUAAAUAGCCAGAAGUUUAAGCGGUGGUGGGUACAGGGUACCUGCGGGGUCUUAAAGUGUUUAAAAAGUCUUCAAUUUCAUAUUCUAAAAAUAAGGCCUUAAAAGUGUUACAUUUUAUUAAAAAGUAUUACGUUUUUUCUUGUCCUUUCAUAGGAUUAAAAUGCCAUAAAGUCCUAAAUAAAUAUUUUGUGUAUACACGACUUUACAAUUUACUCCGUUUAGUGUGACUCUGAUUUUACACGGCAGUACAGGAAACGUUACUGUUUACGUCAGUAUUUAGCUUUGGGCUCUGGACUGUGGAGUGUUUGUGGUGCAUGAGCUCUAGCACGAAUCAUUCAGUUGUUGGGAAAGAAAAAACGUCUCUGAUGGGCUACUAACAAGCUAACGUUAGCUCGUUGAUUCUUAAUGGGCAAGUAUCUGAAGUUCAGGCGAGUCAGUCACACUAUGGCGAGACCUCGCUGCAGGUUACUGGUCAGUGAAUGUUACAACAGCAGCGGAGAGACAGUUGUUUAUGAGAUGAGGAUCAUGUCUGUGUGUUGGCGUUUCCACGCUGUUGUAGGGUUUAGUGUUAAAAAUUUUCCAUUUAUAUAUUUCAGCAUUGAAUAUUUCAUCAAAAUAGUGUUAAAAUAUCUUCUUGUCUUCUUGCCAAUAUUGUGAAUCGUGCGUGUGAGCUAAGUGUAUCGUCACACCUCUAAUCUGAACCCAUAUGUCCCCACCACUUCAACACAAAGUGACGUCCUUGAUUCAUUUUAUGUCAUCAGAGUACAAACACACACCAGAAAGCUAAAGUGUGUUAAAUAUGAAUGUAUUAAAUUCAGCUAACUUUGUAAAUAAUUCUCUCAGGCUAAAAAUUCAUACAGACUUUCCAUUAUAUGGCAGUGAAGUUGAAAUUUCAUCAUUCAUUAAAAAGUCUUAAAUCUGUAACCCUGUUAGAUGGAGUCUUAAAUUUGACUCUGUUUAAAACACAAUAUUAGCAAAAUAUAAAAAGUACUGCUUUCAAAAUGUUACUGAUGUUACAAGUAUUAUCUAAUUGUAACUAGGGCCUACUUUACAUAAUGUUGGCUGAUAAAUCUAAAUGCUUCAUGUGAAAUAUUAAUCUGCAGAGUGACCUGUUAACACUCUGUACAUGUUUUUAUUUCAAUGUAUUUUUUUAUUUGAAUGUAAACCUCUGUUUUCUUGCCAAUAAAGCUUCACUGAAUUAA